rnacentral:rRNA from 1 species
UACGUAGGGUGCAAGCGUUGUCCGGAAUUAUUGGGCGUAAAGAGCUCGUAGGCGGUCUGUCGCGUCGGCUGUGAAAUCCCGAGGCUCAACCUCGGGUCUGCAGUCGAUACGGGCAAACUGGAGUGUUGCAGGGGAGACUGGAAUUCCUGGUGUAGCGGUGAAAUGCGCAGAUAUCAGGAGGAACACCGAUGGCGAAGGCAGGUCUCUGGGCCGCAACUGACGCUGAGGAGCGAAAGCAUGGGGAGCGAACAGG